UACAGAGGGUGCGAGCGUUGUCCGGAAUCACUGGGCGUAAAGGGCGCGUAGGUGGCGGCCCAAGUCCAUGGUGAAAGCUCGAUGCUCAACAUCGAGUCGGCCACGGAUACUGGGUUGCUCGAGCACUGUAGGGGCAGAUGGAAUUCCGGGUGUAGCGGUGGAAUGCGUAGAGAUCCGGAAGAACACCGGUGGCGAAGGCGGUCUGCUGGGCAGAGACUGACGCUGAGGCGCGACAGCGUGGGGAGCAAACAGG
rnacentral:rRNA from 1 species